CAACCAGGAAAUCCUGCACUGGAGACAUCUUUUGAAAGAAAUGUUGAAUAUGAGGCACCAUUGCAAUUUCAAAACUGAAAAGGCUCCUUCAGCUUGCCGAGGUUUUAUUGAAGCAGUUGUUGUGUUAUGUUGUUGGAUGUGAAUUGGACACGCUGCAACAAACAACCAUGACAUCUUGUGAAGAAAUGUUUAAUAUCAAGCACCAUAUAAAGUGAAAAGGCUCCAUCAAUUCACCGUAUCAGUUUCAGCUAGCAAUUUUUACUUAUGUUGAUGCAUACGAAGCACAAGGAUGAGGGUUUGGAACAUUGCAGGGUUCCCUCAAUUAAAGUGAUUAACAGAACAUGGUCAUCCCUCUAGAAUCAGAAUUGGGCCCCUGUAAAGAAGUUAUCAGACUCUCGCAGCUCUAUUUCUAAUAAUUGGAUAUGAUGUUAGAAUGCAAUGCAAUUUAUCCUAAACGGGAGCGUUUGGCAAGUCAAAAGACACAUGUUUUCAAAAAUCGAUUGCUCAUUCAAACGACGUUGUCUCCUCCACUAACAAGGAGUAGUAAUUGUUAGUCUGGUCUGUCUGGCGGUGACAGAGAGAGCCGAUGGGUGGAGCUCUCCCGCGCAUCAAGGUCCCUCAACGACACCCAAAACCCUCCGGUCUGUUUUUCUAUUCUUGUUUCGCUUUAACUUGAAUUUUACAUCAUGAUUCUGGUUGUUU